AGAGCAUCUUUAGCGGUGCGCGACUAAACUAAAUUACAUAGCGCACUAUCAUUACGGGGAACCUUACCGGGCGCUGCUAACCGGGAUAGUAAAAUAGGAGCGCUGCUUUGGAAAAGCAUCGGGUGAGCAAAUUUAGCCACCCGAUAGUUGCGCAAGUGACAGCUGCUAUUUCACAAAGUGCCAUCGAUGCUAUCGUGUUGUUUUUAACUUGUAGUUUGUUUGCCGUGGUGUUUUUGUUGUUUGGUGCGCAGCAAAGAACAUGAGUGCAUCCAAAUCCCGCGGAAAAAACUGGAGUGUAGAAGAGGACGAAGCCCUGUGUACUGCGUGGUUGAAUGUAUCCCAGGAUGGAGCAACCGGGACGUAUCAAAAACUUGAUACACUGUAUGAACGCAUAUAUGAGAUGUUCAUAGAAAUAUGCACCGAGAAAAAUUUGUCUUGUAGCGCAGAGUUACGAGUUCCAAGCGGACUGAAAGCAAGGUGGUUGCUCAUCAGCAAAGCUUGCAGCAAGUUUUCGGGUUGCGUGGCGCAAAUUUCUGCUCGCCAGCAAAGCGGGACCACACAGUCCGACGUUUUCAAACAAGCUUUCACACUCUACAAUACAUCAACGAAGAGUCCGUUCAGUUUGCUGCACGCGUACAAAAUUUUGGAGUGUGCUCCAAAAUGGAAGCAGUACGUGGACAUUAAGGUGGCGGCAGUUAACUCGUCGAAGCGUAGGCAGUCGGAAGAA